rnacentral:lncRNA from 1 species
UGGAGAUUAGAGAAAUGUAUGAGAGUUUUAGAAAAAGAAACAUUACAUUUUUGUUUGCAGCUAUUUGAAAAAAAAAAGACAUAUGUAAAUUUUCCUUAUAUAAUAAAGAUACAAAAUUUUCAAUUAGGUUAAAAAUUUCAAUCAGGUUAAAAAUUUUGGUGUAGAAUACUUCUUGAGAAGUACAUAGUGCAGUACAGUUUCAAAAUUAUAAAAUUAAAUAAAUGAGUAAACUUUUCAAUGAGAAGACUUCAUUGUCCAUAUAAGUAUAAUCAAUGAGAAGACUUCUCAUGACUAUAAUCAUAAUAAGUAUUAACAUGUUUUUUUUGUCUGGCCAUAAUUGGAUAAUUAUAAUUUACUAUCUUAUAUGUUACUUUUGAAUUUGGUUCAAUUUGAAAUAUAUAUUUACACU